UGUUUAUCUCUAGGGUUGAUCUAUUAGAAUUACUUAUCUGAGCCAAAGUAAUUCAAGUAAUUCAGGUGUAGUGAAAC
rfam:Homo sapiens chromosome 13, GRCh38 reference primary assembly.